UUAAACUUAAUAAAUAAUGGAAUCUAUUGUGAUUUAGUUUUCAAUUUUUCGCUUUUUACCCUACGAUUUCCUGCCGCCCAACCCCAUUGUUGUUGUUGAUUGCUCUCCGUUGAACUCAAAGUGAAGGUUCACGAGACGUCUGGUGGCGAUGGUCAGGUAAAUGAGACUCCCAGUAUCCAGCACGUCACCCCUGACUGCAAAGACCCGCCCAGGAGAUUAUCCAAAAAUGAAGACACGUACAAGUCAUUGCAAACACCAGACUGCCCACUUGUUUUGUCCCUUAAUGACACGUGUCCCAUUUACCUCAGCACACUGCUUGGAUUCAUGUGGUGAACACUGUGUGGAUUCCUCCCACACAGGGGGCCUUUGUGAAGUCCUGGCAUUCAUGUGCAGACAGGACCGGCAACCCACAAG